UGGCGGACGGGUGAGUAAUGUCUGGGAAACUGCCGAUGGAGGGGGAUAACUACUGGAAACGGUAGCUAAUACCGCAUAACGUCGCAAGACCAAAGAGGGGGACCUUCGGGCCUCUUGCCAUCGGAUGUGCCCAGAUGGGAUUAGCUAGUAGGUGGGGUAAAGGCUCACCUAGGCGACGAUCCCUAGCUGGUCUGAGAGGAUGACCAGCCACACUGGAACUGAGACACGGUCCAG
rnacentral:rRNA from 1 species